CUGUUUGCUUUGCCAUCUGCUCUGUUUUGGAUUGGGCCAUUGCAAGAAUGAACUGCUGGUCUCCCUGCUUCUGAAAGUCAUUGUACAUUACUCUACAAACAUACGUUAAGCUAAUUUGCCUAAGCAAGUUAGCUCCUGUUCACUGGAUAACGGCUG
rnacentral:lncRNA from 12 species